rnacentral:tRNA from 1 species
UCCUUGGUGGUCCAGUGGUUAGAACUUGGUGCUUUCACUGCUAUGGCCCAGGUUUGAUCCCUGGUCAGGAAA